CCUGGGGAGUACGGCCGCAAGGUUAAAACUCAAAUGAAUUGACGGGGGCCCGCACAAGCGGUGGAGCAUGUGGUUUAAUUCGAUGCAACGCGAAGAACCUUACCUACUCUUGACAUCCAGAGAACUUUCCAGAGAUGGAUUGGUGCCUUCGGGAACUCUGAGACAGGUGCUGCAUGGCUGUCGUCAGCUCGUGUUGUGAAAUGUUGGGUUAAGUCCCGCAACGAGCGCAACCCUUAUCCUUUGUUGCCAGCGGU
rnacentral:rRNA from 2 species